rnacentral:rRNA from 1 species
ACCUACGGGAGGCAGCAGUGAGGAAUAUUGGUCAAUGGUCGGGAGACUGAACCAGCCAAGCCGCGUGAGGGAGGAAGGUACAGAGUAUCGUAAACCUCUUUUGUCAGGGAACAAAGGCGGGGACGUGUCCCCGGAUGAGUGUACCUGAAGAAAAAGCAUCGGCUAACUCCGUGCCAGCAGCCGCGGUAAUACGGAAGGCCCGAGCGUUAUCCGGAUUCAUUGGGCUUAAAGGGAGCGUAGGCGGGCGUUCAAGUCAGCUGUAAAAUCGCGCGGCUCAACCGCGCCCCGCAGCUGAAACUGGACGC